GUACUGCUGUUUUUAGUGAGUGAGGGUCCAGUGUUUCACAUGGGUUUUUUUUAGAUAUUGUGACUAGAUCCACACUCAUUAAAAACGGUUGUUA
rfam:Glossina brevipalpis unplaced genomic scaffold Scaffold49, whole genome shotgun sequence.